UACGGGGGGAGCAAGCGUUGUUCGGAUUUACUGGGCGUAAAGGGCGCGUAGGCGGUCAGCACAAGUCAGUUGUGAAAUCUCCGAGCUUAACUCGGAAAGGUCAACUGAUACUGUGCGACUAGAGUGCGGAAGGGGCAACUGGAAUUCUUGGUGUAGCGGUGAAAUGCGUAGAUAUCAAGAGGAACACCUGCGGCGAAGGCGGGUUGCUGGGCCGACACUGACGCUGAUGCGCGAAGGCCAGGGGAGCGAACGGG
rnacentral:rRNA from 1 species